CUUUAGCCCCGGUAGUAGCGGCAUCCUUUGCUUUUUUUUCUUUAAAAAAGCAAAGAUAUAGCGGAUGACGGGUUCUAUG
rnacentral:sRNA from 1 species